GUUGAACGCUGGCGGCAUGCCUUACACAUGCAAGUCGAACGGUAACAGGUCUUCGGAUGCUGACGAGUGGCGAACGGGUGAGUAAUACAUCGGAACGUGCCUAGUAGUGGGGGAUAACUACUCGAAAGAGUGGCUAAUACCGCAUGAGAUCUACGGAUGAAAGCAAGGGAUCGCAAGACCGUGUGGUACUAGAGCGGCCGAUGGCAGAUUAGGUAGUUGGUGGGAUAAAAGCUUACCAAGCCGACGAUCUGUAGCUGGUCUGAGAGAACGAUGAGCCACACUGGGACUGAGACACGGCCCAGACUCCUACGGGAGGCAGCAGUGGGGAAUUUUGGACAAUGGGCGCAAGCCUGAUCCAGCAAUGCCGCGUGCAGGAUGAAGGCCUUCGGGUUGUAAACUGCUUUUGUACGGAACGAAAAGCCCCGGGUUAAUACCCUGGGGUCAUGACGGUACCGUAAGAAUAAGCACCGGCUAACUACGUGCCAGCCGCCGCCGUAA
rnacentral:rRNA from 1 species